rnacentral:rRNA from 1 species
UAGGGAAUUUUGCGCAAUGGACGAAAGUCUGACGCAGCAACGCCGCGUGAGGGACGAAGGCCUUCGGGUUGUAAACCUCUGUUGAGUAGGAAAAAAAGUAGCAAUAUUUGAUGGUACUACUUGAGGAAGCACCGGCUAACUACGUGCCAGCAGCCGCGGUAAUACGUAGGGUGCAAGCGUUGUUCGGAAUCACUGGGCGUAAAGGGAGCGUAGGCGGGAUUAUAAGUUAGGAGUUUAAAACAUGGGCUUAACCCAUGGGGUGCUCUUAAUACUGUAGUUCUUGAGUAUAGGAGAGGAUGAUGGAAUUCCAGGUGUAGCGGUGGAAUGCGUAGAUAUCUGGAAGAACACCAGUAGCGAAGGCGGUCAUCUGGCCUAAUACUGACGCUGAGGCUCGAAAGCUAGGGGAGCAAACAGG